AAAUGUCAAUAAGCGGAGGAAAAGAAAACAAUAGUGAUGCCUCUAGUAACGGCGAGUGAAGCAGGCAAAGCCCAACUUUAAAAUCUGGCGCUUUCAGCGUCCGAGUUGUAGUCUCGAGAAGCAUGGCUCGUGUCGGUCCGCGUCAAACUGGUUCGGAUGCCAGGUCAUAGAGGGUGACAAUCCCGUUGGCAACGCGGCCUCCCGAUGCAUCAGCAGUCUGCUCUCCAAGAGUCGAGUUGUUUGGGAAUGCAGCUCUAAUUAGGUGGUAAAUUCCAUCCAAGGCUAAAUAUCGGCGGGAGACCGAUAGCGAACAAGUACCGUGAGGGAAAGAUGAAAAGCACUUUGGAAAGAGAAUGAAAGAGUAUGUGAAAUUGCUGGAAGGGAAACGCUUGAAGUCAGACACGCGCGGGGGUAUUCAGCUCGGUUCGCCGGGUGCAUUUGCCCUCAUUGCGCGCCAGCAUCGGUUCGUGGGGCCGCAGCAGCGAGGUGGCAAUGUGGCCGUCUCCGGGCGGUGUUACAGGCCGCCGUUGUGGUCGGACCCGUGGACCGAGGAUCGCAGCGCGCCGCAAGGCAGCCCUCGAGGGGGUAGAGCGCUUAGGAUGCUGGCGGAAUGGCUUUAAACGACCCGUCUUGAAACACGGACCAAGGAGUCUAACAUGCUCGCGAGUGUUUGGGUGUCAAACCCGAGCGCGUAAUGAAAGUGAAUGGAGGUCGGAUGCGCAAGCUGCACGAUCGACCGAAUCGGAUUCUUUGAUGAUGGUUUUGAGUAAGAGCGCGUAUGUUGGGACCCGAAAGAUGUGUGAGCUAUGUCUGCAUAGGGCGAAGCCAGAGGAAACUCUGGUGGAGGCUCGUAGCGGUUCUGACGUGCAAAUCGAUCGUCAAAUGUGGAUAUAGGGGCGAAAGACUAAUCGAACCAUCUAGUAGCUGGUUCCUGCCGAA
rnacentral:rRNA from 1 species